rnacentral:lncRNA from 1 species
UUCUCCCCUCUUUCAGGCCGUAGAGCUGACAGCAUUCAAAUCCUCAGGUUUCUGAGAGGCGGUUUCUGGGUGCCACAACGCUGUGGUGGCCUUCGAGCAGCCUGGAGGAUGGC